AACCCGGAUGAUCUAACCAUGGCCAGUGUGAAGCUUAGGUAACACUAAGUGGAGGUACCAACCGACUGUUGUUGAAAAAACAGCGGAUGAGUUGUGGUUAGGGGUGAAAUUCCAAUCGAAUCCGGAGCUAGCUGGAUCUCCCCGAAAUGCGUUGAGGCGCAGCGGUUAAUGUUUUUUCUUAGGGGUAAAGCUACUGUUUUGGUGCGGGCUGCGAGAGUGGUACCAAAUCAAGGCAAACUCUGAAUACUAAGACAUUUAGUUAACCAGUGAGACGUUGGGGGAUAAGCUUCAAUGUCAAGAGGGAAACAGCCCAGAUUACUAGUUAAGGCCCCUAAAUAAUUGCUAAGUGGUAAAGGAGGUGGGAUUGCAUAGACAAUCAGGAGGUUUGCCCAGAAGCAGCAAUCCUUUAAAGAGUGCGUAAUAGCUCACUGUUCGAGUGAUCCUGCGCCGAAAAUGACUGGGACUAAGCAAUUUGCCGAAACUGUAAGAUGUUUAAACAUCGGUAGGGGAGCGUUCUACAUUAGUGAGAAGAAUUAACGAAAGUGGGUUUGGACAAAGUAGAAGUGAGAAUGUCAGCUUGAGUAGCGAAAACAUUGGUGAGAAUCCAAUGCCCCGAAAACCUAAGGGUUCCUCCGGAAGGCUCGUCCGCGGAGGGUGAGUCAGGUCCUAAGGUAAGGCUGAAAAGCGUAGUCGAUGGAUAACAGGUUAAUAUUCCUGUACUGUUUAUUGUUGGUAAAGGGGGACGGAGAAGGCUAGGUCGACCGAAUGUUGGUUAUCGGCUUAAGUAUUCGAGGUGUUGAGAAGCGGUGAAAACGUUUUGAGCUGAGAUAUGAAUAGGAGGUGCUAAGGCACUGAACCGACUGAUGUCAUACUUCCAAGAAAAGCCCUAACUACCAUAAGCAAUAAAUACCUGUACCCUAAACCGACACAGGUGGGUAAGUAGAGUAUACUAAGGGGCGCGAGAUAACUCUCUCUAAGGAACUCGGCAAAAUAGCCUCGUAACUUCGGGAGAAGAGGUACCCUUUAUGGGUUGCAAGAACCAGACGCUGGCGACUGUUUACCAAAAACACAGGUCUCCGCAAAGUCGUAAGACGAUAUAUGGGGGCUGACACCUGCCCAGUGCCGGAAGGUUAAGGGAGCUUGUUAGUCUUUGACGAAGCUCGUGACCGAAGCCCCGGUGAACGGCGGCCGUAACUAUAACGGUCCUAAGGUAGCGAAAUUCCUUGUCGGGUAAGUUCCGACCCGCACGAAAGGUGUAACGAUCUGCGUACUGUCUCGGAGAGAGACUCGGCGAAAUAGACUUGUCUGUGAAGAUGCGGACUACCUGCACCUGGACAAAAAGACCCUAUGAAGCUUUACUGUAGCUUGAUAUUGGCUCCGGGCUUUGUUUGCGCAGGAUAGGUGGGAGGCGUUGAAAGUUUUCUUGCGGGAAGAUUUGAGCCGUUGGUGAGAUACCACUCUAACAAUGCUAGGAUUCUAACCCUAUGUCGUUAUCCGGCUAGGGGACAGUUUCAGGUGGUCAGUUUGACUGGGGCGGUCGCCUCCUAAAAGGUAACGGAGGCGUGCAAAGGUUCCCUCAGGCUGGUUGGAAAUCAGUCGUAGAGUGUAAAGGCAUAAGGGAGCUUGAUUGUGAGACAUACAAGUCGAACAAAGACGAAAGUCGGCCUUAGUGAUCCGACGGUACCGAGUGGAAGGGCCGUCGCUCAACGGAUAAAAGUUACUCUAGGGAUAACAGGCUGAUCUCCCCCAAGAGUUCACAUCGACGGGGAGGUUUGGCACCUCGAUGUCGGCUCAUCGCAUCCUGGGGCGGUAGUACGUCCCAAGGGUUGGGCUGUUCGCCCAUGAAAGCGGUACGCGAGCUGGGUUCAGAACGUCGUGAGACAGUUCGGUCCAUAUCCGGUGUAGGCGUUAGAGUAUUGCGAGGAUCUCUUCUUAGUACGAGAGGACCGGAAGAGACGUACCUCUGGUGUGCCAGUUAUCGUGCCAACGGUAAACGCUGGGUAGCCAUGUACGGUUAGGAUAACCGCUGAAAGCAUCUAAGUGGGAAGCCAGCCUCAAGAUGAGUACUCUUACCAUAAAAAAUGGUUAAGGUCACGGCAAGACUAGCCGUUUGAUAGGUACCAAGUGUAUGUACAGUAAUGUAUUUAGCUGAGGUAUCCUAAUAGACCGAAUGCUUGACUUA
rnacentral:rRNA from 1 species